rnacentral:tRNA from 1 species
GCCUGGCUAGCUCAGCUGGUAGAGCAUGCGACUCUUAAUUUCAGGGUUAUGAGUUCGAGACCCACGUUGGGCG